rnacentral:rRNA from 1 species
GACGAACGCUGGCGGCGUGCUUAACACAUGCAAGUCGAACGGAAAGGCCCUGCUUUUGUGGGGUGCUCGAGUGGCGAACGGGUGAGUAACACGUGAGUAACCUGCCCUUGACUUUGGGAUAACUUCAGGAAACUGGGGCUAAUACCGGAUAGGAGCUCCUGCUGCAUGGUGGGGGUUGGAAAGUUUCGGCGGUUGGGGAUGGACUCGCGGCUUAUCAGCUUGUUGGUGGGGUAGUGGCUUACCAAGGCUUUGACGGGUAGCCGGCCUGAGAGGGUGACCGGCCACAUUGGGACUGAGAUACGGCCCAGACUCCUACGGGAGGCAGCAGUGGGGAAUAUUGCACAAUGGGCGGAAGCCUGAUGCAGCAACGCCGAGUGCGGGAUGACGGCCUUCGGGUUGUAAACCGCUUUCGCCUGUGACGAAGCGUGAGUGACGGUAAUGGGUAAAGAAGCACCGGCUAACUACGUG